GGUUGGUCUGAGUGCAGUGGUGUUUACAGCUAAUUGAUCACAACCAGUUACAGAUUCCUUUGUUCCUUCUCCACUCCGACUGCUUCACUUGACCAGCAGAA
rnacentral:Y_RNA from 1 species